rnacentral:lncRNA from 1 species
UUUAUGGGUAUGGGACAUUUAACAGCCUUGGCGGUUUCAAUGGGAUACCUUGACGAAGGUACCCGCGAGAAUGAUUUUGGCAGGAGCCAAGUUUUGAGAAAUUCACGAGCCAUAUUGAUUAUUUGGUUGAAAUGAAUAUUCGUGUUGUGAAAAAUUUGCUGAAAUGAACUAUUUUUAAUUGUCUCCCUUUACUCACCUUUAGAUAGUUUAGAUGGUGUCUGUUUACUCACUGGGAUUAUGUAAUCAUAAUCUCACCCCUCUUCCGAUCCCAUUUUUAGGCUCAGGACAGUUUGUUAAUAGUUGAUUAAGACGAGAAUUAAUCUCGGAGUUGCAUCCUAG